rnacentral:rRNA from 1 species
UGCGCAGGUGGGUUUGUAAGUCAGUGGUGAAAUGCUGCCGCUUAACGGUAGAAUUGCCAUUGAUACUGCAAAUCUUGAGUAUGGUUGAGGUAUGCGGAAUGUGUUGUGUAGCGGUGAAAUGCAUAGAUAUGACACAGAACGCCGAUUGCGAAGGCAGCUUACUAAGCCAUUACUGACGCUGAGGCACGAAAGCGUGGGUAGCGAACAGGAUUAGAUACCCUGGUAGUCC